GGUUCAUCUGAGCAAAGUUGCCAACAUAAACAGAGACUUGGAGAUGAGUGGGGUGUUGUGGGUUUCUCUAAGUGUUGCUGUUUUGGUUCUCCUGGAGGAGGGAGCUGUCAUGACUAGCUUCCCCAGUGUGAGUGCGAAGUGUUGUCACUGAAGGAGCUCAGGACCUUGUUGGUGAGAGUGACUGUGAUUCGAUUUGGGGAAGCUUCGGUCCUUGCAUCGAGCAUCACUUCCUGGCUCCGGAGGGGAAGAUGUGUGCCACUUAAUCUUCAGGACAAACUCAUCAUGCUGGCUUCCUGGCAUGUACUGCACUGUUCUUAUUGUCAGAGGAGCUUGGGACCUCCAUGUCACUGGGAAUGACUGUGGUGCUUUUCAGGACAGCCCUGGUCUUUAUUAUGAGUGUGACUUCUUGGCUCCAGUAUAGAACACUCCACCUACCAGCACAGCUCCUUCACCCCACUGCAUAGACUUUCCACUGACCUUUGGGCCUUCCCAGCACGGAUCCAUAAAAGAGACUGGUGGCGCGCCAACACUCCUCCAAUCAGCUGUCAAGACGUCACUCUGCCUGCCCCUUCAAACUCCAUCCCCUGUCAAACUGAAUAACUGCUUGCAGUUUGUCUGCCCCAAGGGGAUCUUGCAGUCUACUGCAAUCCUCCUGUGCCCGCAAUAAAGGCCUUUUUCUGUUUUUCCCUU